UUUCAGUCAGUGUCGAUCAUUCCCACUUCUAAACCCUAAACCCAGCCGCCGCCAUGGCCGCCGCCGUCCGCCUCUUCCUGCGCCGCCGCCUCGCCACGGCCACCGCCACGCCUCCGACCCCAGCCUCCAUCCUCAACCCUUCCUCCCCGACCACCCCGCUCACCUCGCGGCAGAAGACCCGCCUCGCCAUCUCCCUCCUCAAGUCCUCCCCGCCGCCGCCCCACGACCAGAUCCUCUCCAUCUGCCGCGCCGCCGCACUCUCCCCGAAGACCCACCUCGACCGUGUUGCUCUCUCCCUCGCCACCUCGAGGCUCUCCACCGCCCCGGACUCCCUCCGAGACCUCACGUCCUCUCUUCUCAUCCCCCACCACGCGCACCACGCCAUCGUGCUCUUUGGCCAGGCCGGCCUCCUCCCCGACGCCAUCUCCACCUUCCAGUCGUCCCCCUCCACCCGCUCCCUCAACGCCCUCCUCUUCGCCUGCAUCGUCGCCGGCAACCAUGCCGAGGCCGCUCGCAUCUUCCAGACCUUCCCCGACGCCCACCGCGUCAAGCCCAACGCCGAGACAUUCAACUCCAUUAUAAAAUCCUUCUCUGAGUCCGGCACCACAAGGUCCUUCUACUCGGUGUUCGAUGAAAUGUGCAAGGAGGGCGUGAAGCCCACCGCCACCACAUUUACUGCCGCGAUUGCUGGGUUUUACAAGGAGGAGCGCUUUGAUGAUGUAGAGAAGGUGAUUAAGCUCAUGAAGAAGCACGGUUGUGGUGAGUCACUGCAAGUGUUCAAUUCAAGGGUUCAGGGGCUGUGCAAGCUUGGCCGGAAUGGUGAUGCCAAGGCAUUACUGAGUGAGAUGGCCAAGAAAGGGACGAAGCCAAACUGGGUUACUUAUAACCAUUUGAUUUAUGGAUUCUGCAAGGAAGGGGAUUUGGAGGAAGCGAAGCGGCUGUACAAGGAAAUGGGAAAGAAGGGGCUUGUUGGGGAUAGUGGCUUCUAUUUUACUGUCAUUUUUCACCUUUGCAAGGCUGGCGAUUUUGAUACCGCCCUUGGUGUAUACAAUGAGAUAAUACCUAGGAACUGGGUACCCUGCUUCUCGACCAUGAAGAUGCUUGUGAAUGGGCUUGCUGGGAGCUCGAGAAUCGACGAGGCAAAAGGGAUCAUUGAGAAGAUGAAGGAGAAAUUUCCGGAUAGGGAUGAAGGGUGGAAGGAGGUAGAGGAGGCAUUGCCUCAAUAGAAUAACCACUCACAGAUGAAAACCCGCUGCUCAGUGAUUCAAAUUCAAGUUUGUCGCUGAACGACCCUUCUCAAAUUGUUUGUUGCCGGGUGCCAAAAACGUGGUUAGCAGUUGGGAACUGCACCAAUAUUUGAUGGACUGUUCUAAGCACAUGGAGCUUUGUUUAAGAUGUAAUUUUGCUAUUAGAAUAUGCUAGUCCCAGUUGCUGUUAUAAAAUAUCUCCC
rnacentral:rRNA from 1 species